rnacentral:rRNA from 1 species
GUGGGGAAUAUUGCACAAUGGGCGCAAGCCUGAUGCAGCAACGCCGCGUGAGGGAUGACGGCCUUCGGGUUGUAAACCUCUUUUAGCAGGGAAGAAGCGAAAGUGACGGUACCUGCAGAAAAAGCGCCGGCUAACUACGUGCCAGCAGCCGCGGUAAUACGUAGGGCGCAAGCGUUGUCCGGAAUUAUUGGGCGUAAAGAGCUCGUAGGCGGUUUGUCGCGUCUGCUGUGAAAUCCCGAGGCUCAACCUCGGGCCUGCAGUGGGUACGGGCAGACUAGAGUGCGGUAGGGGAGAAUGGAACUCCUGGUGUAGCGGUGGAAUGCGCAGAUAUCAGGAAGAACACCAAUGGCGAAGGCAGUUCUCUGGGCCGUAACUGACGCUGAGGAGCGAAAGCAUGGGGAGCGAACAGGAUUAGAAACCCUUGUAGUCC